rnacentral:lncRNA from 13 species
UGGCAUGUAUCUAUCUAUCUGACAUGUAUCUAUCUAUCUGGCAUGUAUCUAUCUAUCUAUCUAUCUAGCAUGUAUCUAUCUAUCUAUCUGACAUGUAUCUAUCUAUCUGGCAUGUAUCUACCUAUCUAUGUAUCUGGCAUCUAUCUAUGUAUCUGGCAUCUAUCUAUCUAUCUAUCUAGUAUGUAUCUAUCUAUCUAUCUGGCAUGCAUCUAUCUAUUUAUCUAUCUGGCAAGUAUCCAUCUAUCUAGCAUGUAUCUAUCUAUCUAUCUGGCAUAUAUCUAUCUAUCUAGCAUGUAUCUAUCUAUCUAUCUGGCAUAUAUCUAUCUAUCUAGCAUGUAUCUAUCUAUCUAUCUGGCAUAUAUCUAUCUAUCUGGCAAGUAUCUAUCUAUCUGGCAUGUACCUAUUUAUCUGGCAUGUAUCUAUCUAUCUAUCUGGCAUAUAUCUAUCUAUCUAGCAUGUAUCUAUCUAUCUAUCUGGCAUAUAUCUAUCUAUCUGGCAAGUAUCUAUCUAUCUGGCAUGUACCUAUUUAUCUGGGAUGUGUCUAUCUAUCUAUCUGGCAUGUAUCUAUCUAUCUGGCAUCUAUCUAUCUAUCUAUCUAUCUAUCUAUCUAUCUAUCUACCUGGCAUGUAUCUAUCUAUCUAUCUGGCAUGUAUCUAUUUAUCUGGCAUCUAUCUAUCAUCUAUCUAUCUAUCUAUCUAUCUAUCUAUCUAGCAUGCAUCUACCUACCUACGCUAAGGAAUCACUUCAACAAAGAGGCAAGCACUUAAUGUUUGAUGUCAAACACUGUUGCCCUUUUAUUUGUCUGCCUAUAGGAGCGUUCCUCAAUGCAGGGAGAGAUGAAACAGCACCAUGUUUCACACUGCGGGGUCUGGGUUUGAGCCCUUGGGUUAGCCUUGCUGCAACAGGAGCAAGAACACCUACCCCGCUGGCUUACUGUGGAAUUCAAAUGUGGCUGGGGACG